UACGUAGGGUGCGAGCGUUAAUCGGAGUUACUGGGCGUAAAGCGCACGCAGGCGGUCUGCUAAGUUUGGAGUGACAGUUGGUGGCUUAACUGUCAAAGUGCUUCGAAAACUGACAGACUUGAGGGCUUCAGAGGGACACGGAAUUCCGGGUGGAGUGGUGAAAUGCGUAGAGAUCCGGAGGAACACCAAAGGCGAAGGCAGUGUCCUGGGGAGUACCUGACGCUCAGGUGCGAAAGCCAGGGGAGCGAACGGG
rnacentral:rRNA from 1 species